UUUAUUGGAGAGUUUGAUCCUGGCUCAGGAUGAACGCUGGCGGCGUGCCUAAUACAUGCAAGUCGAGCGAAUGGAUUAAGAGCUUGCUCUUAUGAAGUUAGCGGCGGACGGGUGAGUAACACGUGGGUAACCUGCCCAUAAGACUGGGAUAACUCCGGGAAACCGGGGCUAAUACCGGAUAACAUUUUGAACCGCAUGGUUCGAAAUUGAAAGGCGGCUUCGGCUGUCACUUAUGGAUGGACCCGCGUCGCAUUAG
rnacentral:rRNA from 1 species